GAUGAAGAACGUGGCGAAAUGCGAUAAGUAAUGUGAAUUGCAGAAUUCAGUGAAUCAUCGAAUCUUUGAACGCACAUUGCGCCCGCCAGCAUUCUGGCGGGCAUGCCUGUUCGAGCGUCAUUUCAACCCUCGAGCCCCCCCGGGGGCCUCGGUGUUGGGGGACGGCACACCAGCCGCCCCCGAAAUGCAGUGGCGACCCCGCCGCAGCCUCCCCUGCGUAGUAGCACACACCUCGCACCGGAGCGCGGAGGCGGUCACGCCGUAAAACGCCCAACUUUCUUAGAGUUGACCUCGGAUCAGGUAGGAAUACCCGCUGAACUUAAGCAUAUCAAUAAGCGGAGGA
rnacentral:misc_RNA from 1 species